rnacentral:rRNA from 1 species
AGUGAACGCUGGCGGUAGGCCUAACACAUGCAAGUCGAACGGCAGCACAGUAAGAGCUUGCUCUUACGGGUGGCGAGUGGCGGACGGGUGAGGAAUACAUCGGAAUCUACUUUUUCGUGGGGGAUAACGUAGGGAAACUUACGCUAAUACCGCAUACGACCUACGGGUGAAAGCAGGGGAUCUUCGGACCUUGCGCGAUUGAAUGAGCCGAUGUCGGAUUAGCUAGUUGGCGGGGUAAAGGCCCACCAAGGCGACGAUCCGUAGCUGGUCUGAGAGGAUGAUCAGCCACACUGGAGCUGCGACACGGUCCAGACUCCUACGGGAGGCAGCAGUGGGCAAUAUUGGACAAUGGGCGCAAGCCUGAUCCAGCCAUACCGCGUGGGUGAAGAAGGCCUUCGGGUUGUAAAGCCCUUUUGUUGGGAAAGAAAAGCAGCAGGUUAAUACCCCGCUGUUCUGACGGUACCCAAAGAAUAAGCACCGGCUAACUUCGUG